UAAACGAGUUAGUGAGUUGACUCGGGGGUGAUUUUGACUGAGUUGUGUUAACUCGUAUGUAAACCCGGGAGGUACUUUCUAAAAUUCAAAAUGAAGGAACCUUUUUAGGUUUUUUCUAUUGCAAGUGAUGCAACUAGGUGUACUCGUAAAUGGUACAACCAAAUCUAUUUCUUUAAAGUCUUUGUUUUAUUCGACUUAUUUUGCCUUAUUUCAGUUAAAAUAAGUUUAGAUAAGAUCAGAUAAAUUCAGAUAAUAUAAGUUUGAUUAUCAAUUUUUUUCGGAUAUUUUCACCCACAAAUAAAUUUUAUCGGACAAAAUAAAUCAUUUUCAUAUAAAAUUAGUUUAGAAAAGUUAAGUUAAAUUCAGUUAAUUUCAGAUAAUAUAAGUUCAGUCAAAAUUAGUCCAAUAGAACCGAGCGUAAGUGGGGGGUUGACUCAGUACAAACUACCCCAGUCAACCCGCUCUAACCAUAACCCGGCCUAAUACAUUAUGGAGUAUUCAGAUAGACAAGUGACUAAAACAAAAGCAAAAGCACGUUUUUUUUUUGACUCAGAGGCAUAACUAAAAGUAAUGGGAGACUUGAUUUUGAAAGAACAAUGAACUCGGGCGAUUCAAACCGGUAUCAACAAAUUUGAAAUGCAAAGAGAGGGAAGGAGGGAGAGAGAGAGAAGACGUACUGGGGAGUGCAUCGUCCUCUGUGUACAGGGAAGAGGAAGCCAGGCCUAGCAGCAGAUGUUGAAGAAGAUGCGAAGUAGCAGCAAAGAAUCAAGAACAGAGCGAGUUGACUCAGUGAAUGAGGAGAGUUCACCAUUUCUAAAGGAAGAGAAUAUGAAAAGGAGGUUCACCCUUAUGGAUAAUUCGAAUUUGGGGCAAGUUCUGAGUAGAUAGGUUUCAGUCCCCUUCCAAUUGUUGUUGCGAGGGAUCGAACAUGGGUGCUCCCUAUCAAGUUCAGCCUCAAUCACCACUAAACGAACAAGCAAUUGGUGUGACAAUAUAAAUUAUAAAUGAGGAAUUAGAGAAGGUUCUUGAGGUGGGCCAGGCUUCAUUACCAUAACUUUCUAAUUGGAGAUGAAUUUAUCGGGAUUACUGACAUCAUCACCACCAAGGAGAUAGAAUUUUUCAGAAUCAUCAGCGAAGAAUUCGAGAGCUUUGGAUUUGAAAGAGAAAGCGAAUUUCAUGAACAUUUCGGAAAUUUGAGGGGUUUUGAUUCGUUAGUUUAAUCGAAAUGCUGGAUUGGGAAUUACGAUUCUUUUGAAUUUGUUUGUGCAACUAUGCUUAGUUAUAAUUGGUUAAUAGUUGCUUUUGAUGGUUUAGUUUUUGUUGGAAAUGCUGGUUUUUUAUGAAUCAAUG